UUAUAUUCAUCACUAAUGCACUAUGGGUCAAUAGGGAGAAACUAAUAUUUUAUGGAGGUGGAGAAAUCAAGAGUAUACUUAUUUAGUAUACUUGAAGAUGAAUAUAGUUAUGGAUGGAGAGAAUAAAAGUGAAACAUGAAUCUAAUUAAAAGGAAAUUAAAAUAGAUGAGGCAGUAGGGGGAGGAAGAUUGGGAAUGAGAUUAAUAAAGAAAAUGGGAAGCGAGAUUUGUUGUUUUAUUGUAUGGCGG
rnacentral:lncRNA from 1 species